rnacentral:rRNA from 1 species
AUUCCAGCUCCAAUAGCGUAUAUUAAAGUUGUUGCAGUUAAAAAGCUCGUAGUUGGAUCUCUGGCAGGAGGAGCCGCUCACACACUCUGUGCGUGAAGUCGUGCUGUCUCUGGCCAUCCUUGGGGAGAUCCUGUUUGGCAUUAAGUUGUCGGGCAGGGGAUACCCAUCGUUUACUGUGAAAAAAUUAGAGUGUUUAAAGCAGGCUUAUGCCGUUGAAUAUAUUAGCAUGGAAUAAUAAGAUAGGACUUCGGAACUAUUUUGUUGGUUUGCGUUACGAAGUAAUGAUUAAUAGGGACAGUUGGGGGUAUUCGUAUUUCGUUGUCAGAGGUGAAAUUCUUGGAUUUCCGAAAGACGAACUACUGCGAAAGCAUUUACCAAGGAUGUUUUCAUUA